rnacentral:rRNA from 1 species
UACGUAGGGAGCAAGCGUUGUCCGGAAUCAUUGGGCGUAAAGCGCGCGUAGGUGGCCCCAUAAGUCCGCUGUGAAAGUCAAAGGCUCAACCUUUGAAAGCCGGUGGAUACUGUGGGACUAGAGUACGGAAGAGGCGAGUGGAAUUCCUGGUGUAGCGGUGGAAUGCGUAGAGAUCCGGAAGAACACCGGUGGCGAAGGCGGUUAGCUGGGCAGUUGCUGACACUGAGGCGCGACAGCGUGGGGAGCAAACAGG